GAUGAACGCUGGCGGCGUGCUUAAUACAUGCAAGUCGAGCGAACAGACGAGGAGCUUGCUCCUCAGACGUUAGCGGCGGACGGGUGAGUAACACGUGGAUAACCUACCUAUAAGACUGGGAUAACUUCGGGAAACCGGAGCUAAUACCGGAUAAUAUAUUGAACCGCAUGGUUCAAUAGUGAAAGACGGUUUUGCUGUCACUUAUCGAUGGAUCCGCGCCGCAUUAGCUAGUUGGUAAGGUAACGGCUUACCAAGGCGACGAUGCGUAGCCGACCUGAGAGGGUGGUCGGCCGCACUGGAACUGGGACACGGUCCAGACUCCUACGGUAGGCAGCAGUAGGGAAUCUUCCGCAAUGGGCGAGAGCCUUACGGAGCAACGCCGCGUGAGUGAUGAAGGUCUUCGGAUCGUAAAACUCUGUUAUUAGGGAAGAACAAAUGUGUAAGUAACUAUGCACGUCUUGACGGUACCUAAUCAGAAAGCCACGGCUAACUACGUG
rnacentral:rRNA from 1 species